rnacentral:rRNA from 1 species
GGUUAAGCGACUAAGCGUACACGGUGGAUGCCCUGGCAGUCAGAGGCGAUGAAGGACGUGCUAAUCUGCGAAAAGCGUCGGUAAGGUGAUAUGAACCGUUACAGCCGGCGAUGUCCGAAUGGGGAAACCCAGUGCAAUUCGUUGCACUAUCGUUAACUGAAUACAUAGGUUAACGAGGCGAACCGGGGGAACUGAAACAUCUAAGUACCCCGAGGAAAAGAAAUCAACCGAGAUUCCCCCAGUAGCGGCGAGCGAACGGGGAGCAGCCCAGAGUCUGAAUCAGCUUGUGUGUUAGUGGAACGGUCUGGAAAGUCCGACGGUACAGGGUGAUAGUCCCGUACACCAAAAUGCACAGGUUGUGAACUCGAAGAGUAGGGCGGGACACGUGGUAUCCUGUCUGAAUAUGGGGGGACCAUCCUCCAAGGCUAAAUACUCCUGACUGACCGAUAGUGAACCAGUACCGUGAGGGAAAGGCGAAAAGAACCCCGGCGAGGGGAGUGAAAAAGAACCUGAAACCGUGUACGUACAAGCAGUGGGAGCACCUUCGGGUGUGACUGCGUACCUUUUGUAUAAUGGGUCAGCGACUUAUAUUCUGUAGCAAGGUUAACCGUAUAGGGGAGCCGCAGGGAAACCGAGUCUUAACUGGGCGUUAAGUUGCAGGGUAUAGACCCGAAACCCGGUGAUCUAGCCAUGGGCAGGUUGAAGGUUGGGUAACACUAACUGGAGGACCGAACCGACUAAUGUUGAAAAAUUAGCGGAUGACUUGUGGCUGGGGGUGAAAGGCCAAUCAAACCGGGAGAUAGCUGGUUCUCCCCGAAAGCUAUUUAGGUAGCGCCUCGUGAAUUCAUCUUCGGGGGUAGAGCACUGUUUCGGCUAGGGGGUCAUCCCGACUUACCAACCCGAUGCAAACUACGAAUACCGAAGAAUGUUAUCACGGGAGACACACGGCGGGUGCUAACGUCCGUCGUGAAGAGGGAAACAACCCAGACCGCCAGCUAAGGUCCCAAAGUCACAGUUAAGUGGGAAACGAUGUGGGAAGGCACAGACAGCCAGGAUGUUGGCUUAGAAGCAGCCAUCAUUUAAAGAAAGCGUAAUAGCUCACUGGUCGAGUCGGCCUGCGCGGAAGAUGUAACGGGGCUAAACUGUGCACCGAAGCUGCGGCAGCGACACUAUGUGUUGUUGGGUAGGGGAGCGUUCUGUAAGCCUGCGAAGGUGGCCUGUGAGGGUUGCUGGAGGUAUCAGAAGUGCGAAUGCUGACAUAAGUAACGAUAAUGCGGGUGAAAAGCCCGCACGCCGGAAGACCAAGGGUUCCUGUCCAACGUUAAUCGGGGCAGGGUGAGUCGACCCCUAAGGCGAGGCCGAAAGGCGUAGUCGAUGGGAAACAGGUUAAUAUUCCUGUACUUGGUGUUACUGCGAAGGGGGGACGGAGAAGGCUAUGUUAGCCGGGCGACGGUUGUCCCGGUUUAAGCAUGUAGGCGGAGGUUCCAGGUAAAUCCGGUACCUUUUAACGCUGAGGUGUGAUGACGAGGCACUACGGUGCUGAAGUAACAAAUGCCCUGCUUCCAGGAAAAGCCUCUAAGCAUCAGGUAACAUUGAAUCGUACCCCAAACCGACACAGGUGGUCAGGUAGAGAAUACCAAGGCGCUUGAGAGAACUCGGGUGAAGGAACUAGGCAAAAUGGUGCCGUAACUUCGGGAGAAGGCACGCUGAUAUGUAGGUGAAGCCCCUGCGGGUGGAGCUGAAAUCAGUCGAAGAUACCAGCUGGCUGCAACUGUUUAUUAAAAACACAGCACUGUGCAAACACGAAAGUGGACGUAUACGGUGUGACGCCUGCCCGGUGCCGGAAGGUUAAUUGAUGGGGUUAUCCGUAAGGAGAAGCUCUUGAUCGAAGCCCCGGUAAACGGCGGCCGUAACUAUAACGGUCCUAAGGUAGCGAAAUUCCUUGUCGGGUAAGUUCCGACCUGCACGAAUGGCGUAAUGAUGGCCAGGCUGUCUCCACCCGAGACUCAGUGAAAUUGAACUCGCUGUGAAGAUGCAGUGUACCCGCGGCAAGACGGAAAGACCCCGUGAACCUUUACUAUAGCUUGACACUGAACAUUGAGCCUUGAUGUGUAGGAUAGGUGGGAGGCUUUGAAGCGUGGACGCCAGUCUGCGUGGAGCCAACCUUGAAAUACCACCCUUUAAUGUUUGAUGUUCUAACGUUGGCCCCUGACCGGGGUUGCGGACAGUGUCUGGUGGGUAGUUUGACUGGGGCGGUCUCCUCCCAAAGAGUAACGGAGGAGCACGAAGGUUAGCUAAUCCUGGUCGGACAUCAGGAGGUUAGUGCAAUGGCAUAAGCUAGCUUGACUGCGAGCGUGACGGCGCGAGCAGGUGCGAAAGCAGGUCAUAGUGAUCCGGUGGUUCUGAAUGGAAGGGCCAUCGCUCAACGGAUAAAAGGUACUCCGGGGAUAACAGGCUGAUACCGCCCAAGAGUUCAUAUCGACGGCGGUGUUUGGCACCUCGAUGUCGGCUCAUCACAUCCUGGGGCUGAAGUAGGUCCCAAGGGUAUGGCUGUUCGCCAUUUAAAGUGGUACGCGAGCUGGGUUUAGAACGUCGUGAGACAGUUCGGUCCCUAUCUGCCGUGGGCGCUGGAGAAUUGAGGGGGGCUGCUCCUAGUACGAGAGGACCGGAGUGGACGCAUCACUGGUGUUCGGGUUGUCAUGCCAAUGGCAUUGCCCGGUAGCUAAAUGCGGAAGAGAUAAGUGCUGAAAGCAUCUAAGCACGAAACUUGCCCCGAGAUGAGUUCUCCCUGAGACUUUAAGUCUCCUGAAGGAACGUUAAAGACGAUGACGUUGAUAGGUCGGGUGUGUAAGCGUAGCGAUACGUUGAGCUAACCGAUACUAAUGAACCGUGAGGCUUAACCUU